GAGAAAAUGCCUCAUAUCGACCAUUAAAAUUACAAAUUUUGAAACCCUUUGAUCACUAGGCAAAUGAUGUCGCAAAAGAUUUAAAAUUUAAUUUAUAAACACUUCAAGUGAUAUAGAUCAUGUUCAACGGUGCCGAUCGUCGAUUCGGAGGCUCUAUCAUCGAAAACAAAUGGGUGGCAAUGGAGCUCAUUUGCUAUCGAUAGUAUUCUAGCUCAACUUUAUAUAUAUAUGUGUAUAGAAUUAGGCUGGAAUACUAUCAAUAGUAAAAUGCUCUUUUUGUUAUCAAAUUUUUAAUCCUUGGAUGAAAAAUUGUAAGGUCAGGAUGAUAUUAGUCGGUUAGAGUUGAGUGGUUCCCCUAGGGUUGAGUGGUCCCCACUGGGUUAUAGUAUUUAAUCCAAUGGUUAGAAAUAAUGAAAAGAGUUGAUCCAAAGGCUAAAAAAUUGGUAGCAAUAAUGGAAUUUUGCUACUAAUAGUAGCCCAGUCCAACUCUAUAUGUAUAUAUAUUAAGUCUAUAUUUUUGCAUCCUUCGAAUGCUUAUUUUUAUUUUUGUUCUUUUGAAAAUCAGCAUGGUGGUUGCUACCUGCAGCUAGAUAAUUAUAAGAUUAUAAAAUUAUAUAUAUAUAUAUAUAGAGAGAGAGAGAGAGAAUUUAGCUAGAAUACUUCUAAAAGCAUCAGGGGUUGGUGAUUCUAGAUUUGUAGCCCUUAGAUGGAGGUAUUGUAGGGUUAGGAUGAUAGUAGCCCAUUAAAAUUGAGUGGUGGUAUAUAGGUAGACUAGUAUGUGAUCCAAGAGGUACUAAUAGUCUAGGGACAGAUUUAAAGGCUAAAAAUCUUAAAGUACCAAUGGGUUGACGCUUUUAGAUGUAUUCUAGCUCAACCCUCUCUCUCUCUCUCUCUC
rnacentral:lncRNA from 1 species